rnacentral:rRNA from 1 species
UCUCGGCUCUUGCAUCGAUGAAGAACGUAGUGAAAUGCGAUACUUGGUGUGAAUUGCAGAAUCUCGUGAACCAUUGAGUCUUUGAACGCAAGUUGUGCCCGAGGCCUUGUGGCCGAGGGCACGCCUGCUUGGGCGUCAUGGCAUCGUCGCCUUUGCUCCUUUCUU